UUAUUUAAGGGCCGCGGUAAUCUGACCGUGCAAAGGUAGCGUAAUAGUUAGUUUUUUAAUUGGAAUCUUGUAUGAAUGGUUGGACAAGAGAAGAACUGUCUCUAUAAUUUAUUUUGAAUUUAACUUUUGAGUGAAAAGGCUUAAAUAUUUUAAUAAGACGAUAAGACCCUAUAAAGCUUCAUAGUAGAUUAUAUUUUAUUGAAGUAGAAGAUAAAAAUUUAAUAGAUGAUACUAUUUCGUUGGGGAGACGAGAUUAUAAAUUGUAGUAACUGUUAAUAAUUUAUACAAUUGUUUUUGAGUGGUUAGUUAAAGAUCCUAUAUUAGAGAUUAAAAGUUUAAGUUACUUUAGGGAUAACAGCGUUAUUUUUUUUGAGAGCUCAUAUCGAAAAAAAAGAUUGCGACCUCGAUGUUGAAUUAAAAAUCCUAGAUAAUUGUAGCAGUUAUAAUAGGAGGUCUGUUCGACCUUUAAAUUUUUA
rnacentral:rRNA from 1 species